CGCGCGGGCUCUCCACCGCGACUGAGGUGCGUAGGGCCGGGCUCCCGUCCCUCAGGGGCCGAGAGGGGCUGUGUGGACGCCGGCGGUGCCAGGCCUCCGUCCCCAACGCUGGCUGCCGCGCGCCUCGCCACACCCGCCUCCGAGUGGUGCGGGGCGGACAGCUGCGCUCCUCAGAGUGGCGGUGGCGGCUCGCAUCUGAGCCUGAGAAGGCUGGAAGGGGCCUCCACGGAAGCCGACCUGUCCGAGUGCCUUUAGGAAGAAGAUCUUAUUUAUUUUUUACCAGACCAGACGGGACCUCAGUUGUUAAAGGUGGCACCAGUUGGGUGUCUGACACACGAGCAAAACUUCCUAGAGCAAAAUGAUGAUGGUGGAUCUGAAGGUGGCUGAGUAUUUGGACCCAGAGAUCAAGGCUCUGUGGGAGACCAAAGAGCCUGUGAGAGUGAGCUCCAGUCACAGUAAAAAAUCUACACACACAGACAGUCUUGAUCUCAAGAGACCUUGCUGGCACUUCCGGAAUUUCCACUAUCAUGAAGCAGCUGGACCACGUGAGGCUGUCAGUCAACUUCAAGAAUUAUGCCAUCUUUGGCUGAGGCCAGAGAUCCACUCAAAAGAGCAGAUAUUAGAACUGUUGGUGCUAGAGCAGUUCCUGACUAUUCUCCCCAGGGAAACACAGACUCAGAUGCAGAAGCACCAUCCACAGAGCAUUGAGGAGGCUGUGGACCUGGUAGAACACUUGCAGAGGGAAUCUGGGCAAACAAGGAAUGGGGUUGCAGUCCAUGAGCUGGGAAAGGAGACAGUGCUGUUGGGAGAAACAGCAGAGGCCCCAGGCUUCAGGUCAGAGCCAGCAGAGUCCCAUCCAGUGAGCGAUUCCCAGGAUGAAGAAUUUUGGAAUACAUGCCAGGGUCUACAAGAACAGCUGAACAGGAAUACACAUAAAGAAACUGAGCCUGUGUAUGAAAGGGCUGUGCCUGCUCAACAGAUUCUAGCCUUUCCUGAGCAGACAAACACCAAAGACUGGACAGUGGUACCUGAGCUCCUCUUGCCUGAGUCCCAGAGCUUGUUGACAUUUGAAGAAGUGGCCAUGUAUUUUUCCCAGGAAGAAUGGGAGUUACUGGAUCCCACUCAGAAGACCCUCUACAAUGAUGUAAUGCAGGAAAACUAUGAGACUAUCAUCUCUCUAGCUGUGCCUGCUCAACAAAUUCUAGUCUUUCCUGAGCAGACAAACACCAAAGACUGGACAGUGGUACCUGAGCUCCUCUUGCCUGAGUCCCAGAGCUUGUUGACAUUUGAAGAAGUGGCCAUGUAUUUUUCCCAGGAAGAAUGGGAGUUACUGGAUCCCACUCAGAAGACCCUCUACAAUGAUGUAAUGCAGGAAAACUAUGAGACUAUCAUCUCUCUAGCAUUAUUUGUGCUUCCCAAACCUAAAGUGAUCUCCUGUCUAGAGCAUGGGGAAGAACCGUGGGUUCAAGUAUCCCUGGAGUUGAAGGACAGUGCUGGCGAGUCCUCUACAGACAUAGGAACACGGAAUUGUCAUUUGAAAACUGUGAGCAGCUAGUCUGGACCUCAUAGAUCCAUCAGCCAGUGGCUAAAGCCAUUUCAAGUACAGAAACUACAUUGAGACUACAGCUAUAUAAAUUUGAACAGAGAGAGGUUGGAGGUGACAUGGUAGUAGAGCCCCAGACCAUUGUGUAGAGGUCCGUGAUCUUCGGCACCAAGAAGAGAUAGGAAAGAAAAAUAUUUAAACUGCAAAGAGAAGUUUUUUUUUGGUUUUAUUUUUUAAUUUCAAAAUAUUAAGGGGGUACAAAUUUUUGUUACAUGGAUGCCUUUUAUAACACUUACUUCGGGGCUUUCAGUGUGCCUAUCACCAGAACAGUCUUCAUUGUACCCAGUAGCCUGAUGAACAAGGCCCUUAAGCGUGCACUGAAGAAGUUUCUAGGUGGCUCAGAAGACACCCAACUAGGGCUACCAAGAAACACUGCUCUUCCCUUGCUUUUUCCCAAACUCAGGCUCCUCCCCCACCCCACCCCCUCCUAUUAGUGUAGUCAUCUACUACUUUGCCUUUGAAUAGGAAAGCUGCAAGAUACCUCAGAAAGUUCGUGACACUGGGAAUGAAGAGACUUCAGUAUUUGGGUGCACUAUGCAACUAAUUAGCUAUGGUAGUCAGUGGCUCUCUAUAGCACUCUGUCUCAUCGUCUGUAAAAUGACUAUAAUGGCUCGCAGGAAUGUUGUAAGGGUCAAAAUAGAUAAUGCAUUUGAUAAAUUUGUGUGCUUAUAAAACUGCCCUGUUAUUAUACCUAAUCAAAGAAGGAGUACUUUCCCAAGAAACGUUAAUAAUCUAUUUCACAUCCCACCUCCCUCUACAUCCUGAUGGAUUAGUACCCUUUUUUUGUGUUACCAGCGGCUUCCUAAAUGAUGGCUGGAUGAAGGGGCCAGACUGAAGGCAGAAAGAAAGACCAUGAACAAGCCUUAGUUAUUAUCCCCUACUCAUCUUUCUCUCACAUUCCACAUCUCAAUUCACCAGCUCCCUGUUCAAAACAUAUCAAGUAUAUAUAAUUUAGAAUAACACACAUGUGAAAAUUUGGGGAGUAUCUGAAUGCCCAUCAAAAGGGAAAUGAUUGAAUAUAUAUUGUGGUACAUGCCUAAAUGCAUCGCUAUUUUUUUUUAAUGAGGUAGAUACAUUGAAACAGAAAAACUUAAAAGAUAUAGUAAGUGCAGAAAAUCAUAUAUUAAAGUCCAGAAAGAUACACAAUAUUAAGUUAUUUUCUCUAAGGAGGGAUUGUAGUUAAGGAGGUAAGGUACGAAAACACUUCGUUUUUAAGUGAGAACGUUUUGUGGUUCUUCAGUAAUAUUUAAAAAUAAAAACAACCUGGAGAAAAAACACUGGGUUAGAAAUGAGUUCUAGUCCAACUUCUAUCAUUAGAAAUUCACUUAAACUGUGUCGGUUUUCUUAUCUGGAAGGUAAAAAUAGUAACAGUACUGACUUCAUAGGAUUGUUGUGAAGAUGCUAAUAUGUAAAUGUUUAGAAUUAUGCCUACCACGCAGCAAACGCUAUGUUUUCUACCAUGGUUGUCGUCAUCUCAUCUGCAAAACUAGGAUGCGUACCCAGCCACAGCUGGUGCAAGGACCGCGAACACGAACAAAGUGGAAACACCACGCAGGCAGAGCAUCGGUAAGACAAAUGGGCGGGAUUAACAAACGCCAGAUCCUGGGCCCCGGGUUCUCGGACAUUGUGAUUGGUCUCAGCACAUGACGCAGGCGUAUCCUGUCUUCUCAUUGGCGAGAACUGCUGUCAAUUAGUGAAGAGGGGAAACCAGGUGUCAAGGUCGGUCCUUUAGUGCUGCGCUUGUCUGACGCCACUCUUUUAGGAUUAGCGUUUGCGCAUGCGUCUGACCCUCAAAGUCCCGGCGUGCCCCGCGGCAGGUUGCAGCAUGGCGCGGUAGAAAAGAUGGCGUAGCUGGCUCAGGUGGCCCUGCUUCCCUGGUUGGCAGUGGAGACCGGCAGUCCCUUGUGUUCAUUGUCUGUGGAAAGAAUAUUUCAGGUUAUAUUCACAUGAGCCAGCUCUUUGAAUGAAAAUCUUCUGGUUCGUGAAACACCUGCUCUGUUAUGGAGGAAUUGCAGUGCCCAGCAAGUGCCGUCUUUGACAACCUCUGCAGACUCCCUGUUCUGCCGAUGCAGCUCUCCAGCCUCGAUGACACUUCCCUCUAGGCCAGGAACAGCAUCACUUGCCAAAGGAGGUGCAGAGGCCCAGGAGCUUGAAAAAGCAUCCACUUCCUCAUAAAAGAUACAAGGCUUAGGCGCGCAGCCUUGCCUCAGUUUUCGCCUCCAGCCGGGUCCAGGACACUGUCAGCUGCCUGGACUGCUGUCACAGCCUCCUAACCGGCUGCUCUGCAUCCUCUCUGCUGCGGGGCCUUCCACUCCAUUCCCUCUGCAUGGAAUCCAGUGUGAUGUUUUUAAAAUCUCAGAUCACAUCCCUUCCUGGUAACACUCUUCAGUGGCUUCCCACUGCACACAGAAUAAAAUCCAAACUCCUGUUCACAGCCUAAAAGGCCAUAUGA